rnacentral:rRNA from 1 species
GACGAACGCUGGCGGCGUGCUUAACACAUGCAAGUCGAACGGAAAGGCCCUGCUUUUGUGGGGUGCUCGAGUGGCGAACGGGUGAGUAACACGUGAGUAACCUGCCCUUGACUUUGGGAUAACUUCAGGAAACUGGGGCUAAUACCGGAUAGGAGCUCCUGCUGCAUGGUGGGGGUUGGAAAGUUUCGGCGGUUGGGGAUGGACUCGCGGCUUAUCAGCUUGUUGGUGGGGUAGUGGCUUACCAAGGCUUUGACGGGCAGCCGGCCUGAGAGGGUGACCGGCCACAUUGGGACUGAGAUACGGCCCAGACUCCUACGGGAGGCAGCAGUGGGGAAUAUUGCACAAUGGGCGGAAGCCUGAUGCAGCAACGCCGCGUGCGGGAUGACGGCCUUCGGGUUGUAAACCGCUUUCGCCUGUGACGAAGCGUGAGUGACGGUAAUGGGGAAAGAAGCACCGGCUAACUACGU